rnacentral:rRNA from 1 species
CAUUAUCGAAUAAAAACAAAAAUGGGCUGUUGCUGGUCCUUCUGGACAUGUGCACGCUUGUUGUUUUUUCAUCUUCCAAACUGUGCACAUAUUGUAGACCUGGAGUUAUUUUGUAUAGAUUGAGGACUGCUGUGGCUUUCCUUGCAUCUCCAGGUCUAUGUUUCAUUUUUCACAAAUGUGUUUAGAAUGUUGAAUUGAAUUUGAUAUAAUAUACAACUUUCAGCAACGGAUCUCUUGGCUCUCGCAUCGAUGAAGAACGCAGCGAAAUGCGAUAAGUAAUGUGAAUUGCAGAAUUCAGUGAAUCAUCGAAUCUUUGAACGCAUCUUGCGCUCCUUGGUAUUCCGAGGAGCAUGCCUGUUUGAGUGUCAUCAAGCUCUCAACUGCACCAGAGAGGUGUGGCUUUUGGAUGUGGGGGUUUCUGCAGGCUUUCAAAGGCCAGCUCCCCUGAAACACAUUAGUGGUAUCUGAGCAGAAACCUACUACAGGUGUGAUAAAAUUGUCUAUGCCUUAGUAUGCUGCAUGACCGCUUCUAACAAAUUGGAUUGGAUUUGACAAAUUUGACCUCAAAUCAGGUAGGACUACCCGCUGAACUUAAGCAUAUCAAUA